UACGAAGGGGGCUAGCGUUGUUCGGAAUUACUGGGCGUAAAGGGCGCGUAGGCGGCCUCGUCCGUCCGGCGUGAAAUGCCUGGGCUCAACCUAGGAAUUGCGCUCGAUACAGCGAGGCUAGAGUGUGGGAGAGGUUGGUGGAAUUCCCAGUGUAGAGGUGAAAUUCGUAGAUAUUGGGAAGAACACCGGUGGCGAAGGCGGCUCACUGGCUCGUAACUGACGCUCAGGCGCGACAGCAUGGGGAUCAAACAGG
rnacentral:rRNA from 1 species